UUAUGUCUUAUUUGUUAGAAAAUAGAUAGAAUUGCAUGCAUAGAUUUUAAAACUAAUUUUGAAACAAUGGAUACGAUCUAAGUUAAACUCUUUAACUCCACAUGCAAUAGAUUAGAUCUAAAACUAUCCACGCUCAGAUCUAAGAUAGGCAUAUAAUUUAAAAAAUAAAAUAUUAAGAUCGAAUCUCAAUACCUUACGUGGGUUGAACUAUACCGUAGCCGC
rnacentral:lncRNA from 1 species